rnacentral:snoRNA from 1 species
GGCACUUGUCUAUCUGUUUUAGUCUAACUUGUGGACUAAGACUUAUGGACAGAUGCAAAAAAAAUAAACCCUUUUGUAAUCUAGCAUUCAUUGGUCAGUGUGAGUUUUGAUAUGUAUAAGAAGAAAUAUG